rnacentral:RNase_P_RNA from 1 species
CCGCAGGGGCGCUCUGCCGCCGGCCUCCGCCAGGAGACCGGAGGAAAGUCCGGGCAACACAGAGUGCCGUCCUUCCUAACGGGAAGAGGUUCGCAAGGGCCUGUAUGGCGUAACAGAGAACAGACCGCCGCACGGGGUGACCCGGAACGGCAAGGGUGAAACGGCGGGGUAAGAGCCCACCGCGCGGGUGGCGACACUCGCGGCACGACGCGACGACGGGUUGCAAGAUCAUGUAUAUCGGCGCUACGAGGGUUACUCGCCCCAUGCCGAAGGGUAGAUCGCUGAUGAGGCUGCCGGCGACGGCCGUCCGAGAUAAAUGGCAGAGGGCCGAAAAGGCGGGACGAGCGGUCACGCGCUCCACCGCCCGAACGGCCACAGAACCCGGCUUACAGCCCCUGCGACGCU